rnacentral:pre_miRNA from 1 species
UUGUUUGCAGGUGUAGCAUCUUCAAGAUUCACAUGCAAAUGCACGGUGGUGAAUGGUGAUUAUAGUAACGUACUCCCCCUUUCUUCUCUUCCUAAUUUCAUUCCCAAAGUUCCUUGCAAGUGAGAAUCUUGAUGAUGCUGCAUCGGCAAUAAA